GAUGCGACCUCAGCUCAGGCGGGGCCACCCGCUGAGUUUAAGCAUAUCAAUAAGCGGAGGAAA
rnacentral:rRNA from 3 species